rnacentral:rRNA from 1 species
CCAAUAGCGUAUAUUAAAGUUGUUGCAGUUAAAAAGCUCGUAGUUGAAUUUCGGGAUCAGUACGCUGGUCAUGCCUUUGGUAUGCACUGGUGUCACUGGUUUCUCCCUUCUGAAGAUCCGUGAUGUCAUUAAUUUGGUGUCGCGGGGAAUCAGGACUGUUACUUUGAAAAAAUUAGAGUGUUUAAAGCAGGCUCACGCUUGAAUACAUUAGCAUGGAAUAAUGAAAUAGGACGUUUGACCCUAUUUUGUUGGUUUCUAGGAUCAACGUAAUGAUUAAUAGGGAUAGUUGGGGGCAUUAGUAUUCAAUUGUCAGAGGCGAAAUUCUUGGAUUUAUUGAAGACUAACUACUGCGAAAGCAUUUGCCAAGGAUGUUUUCAUUAAUCAAGAACGAAAGUUAGGGGAUCGAAGACGAUCAGAUACCGUCGUAGUCUUAACCAUAAACUAUGCCGACUAGGGAUCGGAUGAUGUUAAUUUUAUAAUGACUCAUUCGGCGCCUUACGGGAAACCAAAGUGUUUGGGUC